rnacentral:rRNA from 1 species
UGGUCAAUGGCCUAACGGCUGAACCAGCAACUUGGAUGAAUGUAUGGCAAUAGCUGGUUGCAUUAACAAAAAGUUAGUGUAAGAUCGACUCUGUCGAAUAAAAUUCUAGAUAGAAUUAUGAUAAUGACAUUAUCUAUCUAUGUGUCUUGACCAAAUUACGUGCCAGCAGUCGCGGUAAUACGUAAAAGACUAGUGUUAUUCAUCUUUAAUAGGUUUAAAGGGUACUUAGACGGUAAAUAAAGCCCGAAUAGGGAACUAAUAUACUAGAGUUUGAUGUAAGGAAGCAUGAAAGUACUGUUGGUGUAGAGAUAAAAUUCUAUCAUACCAAAUAUGGCACAGGUUUAGGCGAAAGCAUCUUCUUAUGUAAUAACUGACGUUGAAGGACGAAGGCUUUGUGUCUCGAACAGGAUUAGAUACCCCAGUAGUCUAAGCAGAUAAUGAUGAAUGUCAUAGAUUAGAUUUAAUUUAAUUUAUUCUAUAAAUGAAAGUGUAAGCAUUCCACCUCAAGAGUAAUUUGGCAACAUUGGAACUGAAAUCAUUAGACCGUUUCUGAAACCAGUAGUGAAGUAUGUUGUUUAAUUAGAAGAUACGCAAAAAACCUUACCACAAUUUGAAUUAGUAAUAUGUUUUCACAAGCGCUGCACGGCUGUCUACAGUUAAUGUCGUGAGAUUUUGGUUAGUUCCAUUAAAUUAACGCAAACCCUUACUUUAUUUUUAAUAUAAAGUAGUUCACCGCCAAAUUGGAUAUGAUAAAAGGGAACAAGACAAGUCAUCAUGGCCUUAAUAUUGUGGGCUAUAGACGUGCCACAUAUGCCUUACAAAGGGAUGCGAAAUUGCGAAAUUGAGC